GAUGAACGUUGGCGGCGUGCCUAAUACAUGCAAGUCGAGCGAACAGACGAGGAGCUUGCUCCUUUGACGUUAGCGGCGGACGGGUGAGUAACACGUGGAUGACCUACCUAUAAGACUGGGAUAACUUCGGGAAACCGGAGCUAAUACCGGAUAACAUGUUGAACCGCAUGGUUCAACAGUGAAAGACGGUCUUGCUGUCACUUAUAGAUGGAUCCGCGCCGCAUUAGCUAGUUGGUAAGGUAACGGCUUACCAAGGCAACGAUGCGUAGCCGACCUGAGAGGGUGAUCGGCCACACUGGAACUGAGACACGGUCCAGACUCCUACGGGAGGCAGCAGUAGGGAAUCUUCCGCAAUGGGCGAAAGCCUGACGGAGCAACGCCGCGUGAGUGAAGAAGGUCUUCGGAUCGUAAAACUCUGUUAUUAGGGAAGAACAAAUGUGUAAGUAACUAUGCACGUCUUGACGGUACCUAAUCAGAAAGCCACGGCUAACUACGUG
rnacentral:rRNA from 1 species